UUCCAGACUCCUACGGGAGGCAGCAGUAGGGAAUUUUGCGCAAUGGGGGAAACCCUGACGCAGCAACGCCGCGUGAUUGAUGAAGUCCUUCGGGGUGUAAAGAUCUGUCAGUGGGGACGAAACUUGACGGUACCCACAGAGGAAGCAUCGGCUAACUCCGUGCCAGCAGCCGCGGUAAUACGGGGGAUGCAAGCGUUGUCCGGAAUCAUUGGGCGUAAAGAGUUCGUAGGUGGCACGUUAAGUCUGGUGUUAAAUGCAGAGGCUCAACCUCUGUUCGGCACUGGAUACUGGCGAGCUUGAAUGCGGUAGAGGUAAAGGGAAUUCCUGGUGUAGCGGUGAAAUGCUUAGAUAUCAGGAGGAACACCAGUGGCGAAGGCGGCUUACUGGACUGUAACUGACGUUGAGGCUCGAAAGCGUGGGGAGCAAACAGGAUUAGAUACCCUGGUACU
rnacentral:rRNA from 1 species